rnacentral:rRNA from 1 species
GAUGAACGCUAGCGGCAGGCCUAAUUCAUGCAAGUCGAACGGUGUCUUCGGACAUAGUGGCGCACGGGUGCGUAACACGUAUGCAACCUACCUUACAUUGGGGGAUAGCCUUUCGAAAGGGAGAUUAAUACCGCAUAAGACAGUAGCUGGGCAUCCAGCAGCUGUUAAAGAUUUAUCGAUGUAAGCUGGGCAUGCGUCCAAUUAGCUAGUUGGGGAGGUAACGGCUCACCAAGGCAAUGAUUGGUAGGGGAACUGAGAGGUCAAUCCCCCACACUGGCACUGAGAUACGGGCCAGACUCCUACGGGAGGCAGCAGUAGGGAAUAUUGGGCAAUGGACGCAAGUCUGACCCAGCCAUGCCGCGUGCAGGAUGAAGGCGUUAUGCGUUGUAAACUGCUUUUAUACAGGAAGAAACGACUCUUGCGAGAGGCAUUGACGGUACUGUAUGAAUAAGCACCGGCUAACUCCGUGCCAGCAGCCGCCGUAACAC